CUGGGAAGUCCAGGAUCAAGGCAGAUUUGGUUGCUGUACCUCUGGGCCACAAGUUGGAAGACAAAGAGAAACGGACAGUGGACUCUCAGCUCCCCAAAGAAUGCUUCAUUACUCAAGAAUCCCCUGUGUUCAUCCUACCUAGGGGGAUGGAUUCGCCAAGGUCACAUGGAGAAAACUUUGAGAAAAUGCUCUGACAUGGAGAUGUCAACUUGAGUGACAGCCCUGGUGAGGCGCCUCACCCUGUCUGCCUUCUUUACAUGCAUCACUUCACAGAAAUGAUGACUGCCAUUUGAACAGAAGGCUAUCCUUCCCGACCAGGGUCAGGAAACUGACAAG